CCGAUUCUGUAAAGUGACUGUCGGCCCAUUACAUGUGGAAGAGCGGUGGAACAAAUAUUAACUGAAGAUUGAAACCAGAACGGCGCGAAACUGUCUCGUUUUGGACACUGUCUGUGGCAGCACGGACCAGAGACCUGCUUCUUUGGAUGAAGCUUAGUGGUGGCGUUGGAAGACAGGAGAUAUAUGCUUUGGGUUUGCGUCAUCCACUACGUCAGCAAAGAACAGGAUCGGGGAAUGACUACAUGGCCAACUGCAUCUCGUGGAAGUUGUUCUGAAGAUGCGAUGCGUGAAGGAAGGAAGUCCACAAGCAUGUGUGCUUCAGAACUCUUUGACCAACCCCCAACUGAGAGAGCUGAGCGAAGUGGCUAUCAGUAAGUCUAUUUGUGGGGACAGACUUACUCUGACAGAUGACAU